rnacentral:rRNA from 1 species
AACGAACGCUGGCGGCAUGCCUAAUACAUGCAAGUCGAACGAACGUAGCAAUACGUGAGUGGCGGACGGGUGAGUAACACGUGGGAGCCUGCCCAGCGGUGGGGAACAACCGAGGGAAACUUCGGCUAAUACCGCAUACGCCCUUACGGGGAAAGAUUUAUCGCCGUUGGAGGGGCCCGCGUCCGAUUAGCUAGUUGGUGAGGUAACGGCUCACCAAGGCGACGAUCGGUAACUGGUCUGAGAGGACGACCAGUCACACUGGGACUGAGACACGGCCCAGACUCCUACGGGAGGCAGCAGUAGGGAAUAUUGGACAAUGGGGGAAACCUUGAUCCAGCAAUGCCGCGUGAGUGAUGAAGGCCUUAGGGUUGUAAAGCUCUUUCGCCCACGACGAUGAUGACGGUAGUGGGAGAAGAAGCCCCGGCUAACUUCGUGCCAGCAGCCGCAGUAA